CUUCUCCUCAGUCUCAUCUCACUUUCUUCCCUCUAUUCUCCAAAUAGCCACCACCGCCGCCACCACCACUAGAAGAAAUCUCUUGUAUCCAACCCAUACCCAAUCGUCGUAUAACCCACCAUCAUCAUCCCUCGUGCCCAGCCUGUAGUAGCUUGUAGUCAUCGAACAAUCUGUCGACCUUCGUUGUGCUCGCCAACACCGUCGAACAUAAAUGACGAGUCAAGGUUUUUGCAGUUUUGGUAAAUAUAAUAGCUUUCCAGGAAAUUCUUCCUUCAGGUCUCACUUCAGUUUCAAAACCUCGAUGGAACUACAAGUUUUUUAUUAUGUAAUGUGUCCUAGGAAGUAGUGUAUCAUCCUCGUUUCUCAUGAAACUAGAGAGAAGCUGGAAGCAGAAUAUAUAUUGGUAUACUGAAGAUAGUUUUAUGUGUAAUUUGGGAAUCACUCCUUGAUUAUUUCCCUUCAUGCACCAUGAUGGAUGUUGUUUCAAAAUAUUUGUCACUUCUCUAGUUUAAAUAUAUCACUUUCACUUUCAUGAUGGAUGUUGUAUUAUAUGUUGUGUAAAUAUAUGGGAUCUUGGCAAGUGAAAGAUUGCUCCGAAAGAGGGGAUUAUUGAUGUGAGGUGUCUUGUAUCCCAUUUAUUCAAACAAUUUCUUCUUGAUUUCCAUGUUCAUUUUCCCUUCGUAAUUGUAUAUAUUUAAAUAUUUGAAUGCAUUGAUAGCCUAGAGAGGUGGGAGAGUUAUGUUAAUUGAAUGUUCCUAUGAAAUUUUGUGCAACCGUAUACCAGGGCAUUGGGUUGAACCACCACCACCCGCAGGUGAAAUAUGGGCAGCAUAUUUGGUUCCACAAAAAUGAAACCAUCCAACCAUGUGAUUAGAAUUGGUUUUCCAAAAGAUGUUGCUAAAAAAAGAUUGGUAUGCUAUGCAUUGGAAAUGCAUCAAUAAUAAGUUGAUUUUGGUUGUUCCAUAUGGAAUUUUUUUUUGAAGGGGUCGUCUUAAUGUGGUUAACAGUUUUGAAUAAUCGUUGGAUGUACAAGUGAGAAACUCAAGAGGAUGAAUAGUUUGUCAAGUAACCUCUUGAUUUUCAAUUGUGAUAAAUUGUCUUGUAUUUUUGGCAUUUGGUUCUUGAAAUUUUGAAGGAUAUUGGGGAAAAAGUAUCGAUUACAACGAGAGCUUUUAAUCCUCUUGGAAUUCAUUUGACUGGGGAAUUUGAGUUAGAACUAAAGUAAAUCGCUUGUACGGAUGCAGGAAUCGUGCAAAGAAGUUCAAGUUGUAAUCAAUUAUUGGAAACCUUAGGUGCUUCCUCUUUUUUGAAUCUCGAUUGUCUUAGAUGGGUUGUUUUGCUAGCUAUCUGCCUCCUUUCAUAUUUUUACACAUUGCGUUUGCGUUUGCUUAUGUAAAUGCAAGUUAUCUUCAAUCCUUGUUAUGUAUUUUGUUGCAUAAAUCCAUUAACUCUAUUUCUUCCAUUGAUGCUUCCAGAUUUGGCAGUUGAACUUUAUAAGAAGUCUUUGGUCCUUGCCACUUAAUUUUAGCACUUCACUUAGCAAAAGUCUCAUGGUGGGUUUAAAGUUGUUACUGUGACAGUCACAUGUACCUUAAACAAACUAAACAACAUGGCAAGAACUGUAUUUGAAAUAGUUUUAAUUUGAAUCUUUUAAAAUUUCCUCAACAAUACCAAUGUUUUUUUAAAGCUACAAAAAAUAUUUUCAAAUUGAUAUUGUAGCAGCUGAUGUCGACGACCUGUGCUCUUGGAAAGGAUUGGUAGAAUCUCGGCUUACGAAUUUGACGUUGUUGGCUUCGUGAAUGGAAACAGCUUGAUGAGUACUUUUGUAUGUUUAUUCAUUUUUGUGAAUGAUGUUCUAUAUUUAAUUGUUAGUCCUUGAAUUUGAGGUUGCUACAUCCACAAAUAUGAAUAUGUAUUUAGUGGAGGAACUUUCUGUUGUACAUAUACAUGGGUUAAUAAUCACGAUCUUAUAUAUAUUAUCUUUAUAUUUUCGAGUUUUCA